rnacentral:rRNA from 1 species
GACGAACGCUGGCGGCGUGCUUAACACAUGCAAGUCGAACGGAAAGGCCCUGCUUUUGUGGGGUGCUCGAGUGGCGAACGGGUGAGUAACACGUGAGUAACCUGCCCUUGACUUUGGGAUAACUUCAGGAAACUGGGGCUAAUACCGGAUAGGAGCUCCUGCUGCAUGGUGGGGGUUGGAAAGUUUCGGCGGUUGGGGAUGGACUCGCGGCUUAUCAGCUUGUUGGUGGGGUAGUGGCUUACCAAGGCUUUGACGGGUAGCCGGCCUGAGAGGGUGACCGGCCACAUUGGGACUGAGAUACGGCCCAGACUCCUACGGGAGGCAGCAGUGGGGAAUAUUGCACAAUGGGCGGAAGCCUGAUGCAGCAACGCCGCGUGCGGGAUGACGGCCUUCGGGUGGUAAACCGCUUUCGCCUGUGACGAAGCGUGAGUGACGGGAAUGGGUAAAGAAACACCGGCUAACUACGG